UACGAGAUCAUGCCUAGUCUCGUGGGCUCGGAGAUGUGUAUAAGAGACAGCGCGGAGAUAGCUGGUUCUCCCCGAAAUAGCUUUAGGGCUAGCCUGAGGUAGUAAGUAUAGGCGGUAGAGCACUGAUCGGGCUAGGGGCCGUAAAGGUUACCGAACCCUGUCAAACUCCGAAUGGAUAUACUGUAGAGCCUUGGAGUCAGACUACGAGUGAUAAGAUCCGUGGUCAAAAGGGAAACAGCCCAGACCACCAGCUAAGGUCCCCAAUGUCGUACUAAGUGGAAAAGGAUGUGGGGUUUCAUAAACAACCAGGAUGUUGGCUCAGAAGCAGCCACCAUUUAAAGAGUGCGUAAUAGCUCACUGGUCGAGAGACCCUGCGCCGAAGAUUCCCGGGGCUAAAGUACGAAACCGAAGCUGUGGCUGUAUACGUAAAGUAUACGGGGUAGGGGAGCGUUCCCAUAGGGUAGAAGUCGAACUGGAAGGUUCGGUGGACUUGUGGGAAGUGAGAAUGUUGGUAUGAGUAGCGAAAAGAAAGGUGAGAAUCCUUUCCACCGAAAGCAUAAGGAUUCCUGAGCAACGAUCGUCGUCUCAGGGUAAGUCGGGACCUAAUCCGAGGCAGAGAGCGUAGGAGAUGGACAACUGGUUGAUAUUCCAGUACCGGUAGUAAUUGUUUGAGCAAUGGAGUGACACAGAAGGGCAGGCAAGCAUGCGAAUGGAAGAGCAUGUGUAAGCGUGUAGGGUGGUGCAUAGGCAAAUCCGUGCACUGAAAGCCUGAGGCGUGAUGCGGAGUGAGCAGAGAUGCGAGCGAAGUUGCUGACCCCACACUGUCGAGAAAAGCUUCUAGUGAGAGAGCUACCGCCCGUACCGUAAACCGACACAGGUAUGCGGGGAGAGAAUCCUAAGGUGCGCGGGAGAACCCUCGUUAAGGAACUCGGCAAAAUGUACCCGUAACUUCGGGAUAAGGGUAGCCACUGUUGUGAAGUCCCAUGCGGAUGGAGCAUAGAGUGGUCGCAGAGAAGAGGCCCAAGCGACUGUUUACCAUAAACACAGGUGCCUGCUAAAGCGAAAGCUGACGUAUAGGUGCUGACACCUGCCCAGUGCCGGAAGGUUAAGGAAGGAUGUUCGGAUUAAUCCAAAGCAUUCGACUGAAGCCCCGGUGAACGGCGGCCGUAACUAUAACGGUCCUAAGGUAGCGAAAUUCCUUGUCGGGUAAG
rnacentral:rRNA from 1 species